AACGAACGCUGGCGGCAUGCCUAACACAUGCAAGUCGAACGAGACCUUCGGGCCUAGUGGCGCACGGGUGCGUAACGCGUGGGAAUCUACCCUUGGGUUCGGAAUAACAGUUAGAAAUGACUGCUAAUACCGGAUGAUGACGUAAGUCCAAAGAUUUAUCGCCCAAGGAUGAGCCCGCGUAAGAUUAGCUUGUUGGUGGGGUAAUGGCCUACCAAGGCGACAAUCUUUAGCUGGUCUGAGAGGAUGAUCAGCCACACUGGGACUGAGACACGGCCCAGACUCCUACGGGAGGCAGCAGUGGGGAAUAUUGGACAAUGGGCGAAAGCCUGAUCCAGCAAUGCCGCGUGAGUGAAGAAGGCCUUAGGGUUGUAAAGCUCUUUUACCAGGGAUGAUAAUGACAGUACCUGGAGAAUAAGCUCCGGCUAACUCCGUGCCAGCCGCCGCGGUAA
rnacentral:rRNA from 1 species